CCCCGCGCAGCUUCAAUUAAUAAAACCUAAACCCUUCCCUCACCUUUGAUUACUUGCCGUACUUGCGUUGAAGUUCACUUUUCCGGCAGAGAACAUGGCGGAGAUGGAUUUGGACUUCGACGGCCCAAGUAAAGCUCCGACUAGGCCAUCCCGUUUUGCUCCCAAAAGCUCUAAAUUGAAGCCCCAACCCCAACCAGUAACCAAACCCAAACCUGAAACACCGUCAUCAUCAUCUGAUCCUCCUAUUCCGACUAAAAAGGAAGAAUUAGUUUCAAAACCCUCAGUAAAAGACCAUCCAGCCGAAAAUGGAGCCGCAAUGGGUAAAGAUGACGUUCCAUUGGAUGAAAACACUACGGGAGACGACAUGGCAGAAGAAGAACAAAUCGCCAUGGAUACUGAUAGCGUUGAAGAUGAAGUUGUUCGUGAAAUUGAUGUGUGUUUUACCCCUUCCUCUGAUCCUGACAAUCAGCUAUAUGUGUUCCAGUAUCCAUUGAGGCCCGUAUGGCGUCCCUAUGAAUUGGAGGAAAGAUGUCAAGAGGUGAGAUUGAGACCUUCAACUGCACAAAUGGAGGUUGAUUUGGCAAUAGAUUUUGAUUCUAAAAAUUUUGACCGAGACUCUGUUCAUGCAGUAAAGAUGGAAAAGCAGACUCUUUCUACAUCAUGGAUGCCAUUAUCAACUUGCACCUCUGGAUAUGCUGUUGGGGUCCUCAUUGGUGAUGAGUUACACCUCAAUCCUAUUCAUGCAGUUGUACAGCUCCGACCAUCACAGCAGCAUCUUAAGGAAAGUGAGUUGAAGAAGAAGAACAUUGCCACCAGCAGUGAUGGAAAAACUGUUGAAAAGAAAGAUGUCGAGGAAAAAAAGCCUGCGGGUCCAUCAAAGAAGCAGAACAAACCACCUGGGAAUGACAAGGAUAUUGAAGAGCAUUGGGUACAUCUAAAAUACCAUGGAGCUAGGAGUGACAUUUCAGCCAGAUAUCUACAGGAAAUGGCCAUGGAGGAAGGCUCUCCAGUACCAUUUUCAAUGAGCCCGGUUGAUUAUCUGAAUGCUGUAUGUCCUGGCAGACCAACUGACACUGACAGAUUAAAAAUUCUUCGAACAAGGUUGUCUCAAUUACCUCUUGAAGAACGCAUUAGAACUUGGCUUCUUGAGGGACCUCCAAUUCAUCGUUUUGAUGCUCUAAAGCACCUGGCGCUGGAUGAUCCUGUUGAUGAAAUUUUGAGAGUCCUCCAAAGAUACGCACAAUUAGUUCAAGGAUUAUGGGUUCCAAAAAGUUCAUUAAUCUAUGGAAAGAAUGAUGGACUUGAAGUUUUAGCAAGGAAUUUUAUUCUCUUUGAGUUUAGCAAGAGUACCAUUAUUAAGCAGAAAGUUUUUUCCAGGAGGUUGGAUUUCCUUAAAGCUGCGAAACCAACACUAAAAUCAUUAGCUGUUGAGAGGCCUGACCUGAAUGAUUGGAAGCUCAAAGAGCAUCCUGACAAGAAAUUUGAAGUUCUUUAUGGUGAUGUUGUGAAAGAGCAGCAAGCUACCUGGGAAUGCAUGGGGAAACAGAUCAAUGGUAUUUUGUCUGGAGGAAGAAACAGGCCUGCUCUGAAGAAUCCUUUAAAUUCAAAUGACAACAUUCCUGCACUGCCCGGUGGUGGUACACCCGCUCCUGGGUCACUUUUGCGAACAUCUAUGUCAGAAAAAACUCGAGAAGCUUUACCAAAGGCGCUUCAAAAAGUUUUUAGAAUCUAUAAGGCUUGCAGUUUCCAGCAAAUCCGCCAACGUCUGCGAGAUGUGGCAGUUUCUGAGUCUCAAAAGGGAGAUGCAAAGAAGGCUAUAACUGCAGCCAAUUCUGUGAAUGAUGCACCUCCCGAGGAGAUACAGGCAGUGAUUAAUCAGGUUGCUGUAAACAUCCAUGGUGUCUAUGUUUUGAAGUCAUCGCCAGAUAAUCCUCAAUAUGACGCAUUGAGGAAAGUUGUAAUUGACCUUCUUAUGGCUGAAGGGCCGAGUGCAAAGCUAAAGAAAGCCUCUGUAGUUGAAGCUGCCAAGUUGCAACUGAAUAGGGAUAUUACCGAUAUUGAGUUUAAAAAGGUUAUGCAGGAAUUAUGUGAAUCAAAAAAUUCCGCAUGGGUUUUGAGAAGUGGUGAUGGCAGUUCAUCAUAGUCUGCGGUUUUUAAUCCAAGUUGUACAGGUCACCCGAAAUACAUGUUAGUAGUUGGAAAUUCUCAAUGAUGAGAAGCUGAAAAUUGGACUUUUCCCUUUACUCUUGAGAAGUAUAAUUGUUUAGUUUUGUGUUAUACGAUGUCUCAGAGUAUAUGAUUGAGCUGUUGGUGGGAACCGCUUUGCAUUGCAGCUAUAUGUAGCUCCUCUUCGAGAAGGUUUAGGAGAUAUCACCAUAUCAGAAAGAUGUUGGCCAGGAUGUUUCUUGGCUACUGGUGGUUUUGGAGCCACUGCUUCCUUUGUUUUCUACUGGAUGUACUGAUACGUCACAGGGAAGCAUCCGAUCGGCGCUUCCAAGAUUGAUUACGCGAGGGAUAAAAUUGCACAUGCAGCACAUGAUGUGAAGGAGAAGGCGGAGUAAUUGGGACAUCAAGCAGGGCAACAGAUUAAGGGUUGAGAGAGGGGCUUAGAUGAGUUUUCUCAUGCAUGCAUGUGCACCUUUUAAUUGUUUGUUAAUCGGUUUUGUGUGAGAAUGUGAGCCGUGCUUAUUGGAUUUUGCGGUAGCUGUUACUGGUUCUGUAGCAAGAUUUAGUCACUUAACGAGUCUGUUUUUGGUUUUACCCAAAUCUUGUUGAGUCUGUUUUUUGUUAAUCCCUAAUCUUUUUAGUUCCGUGGUG